rfam:Parcubacteria bacterium GW2011_GWF2_38_76 TT05_C0011, whole genome shotgun sequence.
GGGGAUGAUCGGCCUAGACAUCGGUCGUAUUUGAACUGUUGAAGAUCGAGGAUUCUAAGAUGCUCGUAAAACAACCUUAGAAACGAUAAGUGCAAACUUGUCUAAUGUCGCAAAGAGGAUCGUAUCCCCUUUCGCUACACUAAAUUACGCUUUCGCGUAAUCGUCUGAACGGAUGACUUCCGAUAAUUUCGUUCGGGCGUUAUAAAAAUCGGGAUAGAAUUCUUGCUUUUCCGACAAGAAUUCAAAACUUAAGGAAAUAGGAGCAACUUGCUGUCGUCUAAUUACUAUCAAGCUGUUUCCGAAAUGUACCGCUAACUAGGCAGUACAAAAUAAAAUUAGGCUAUAUCUUCUACAGGCAGUUUAAAGAAAUCCUUUGCACGGGGGUUCGAUUCCCCCCAUCUCCACAA